CAGUCGCCGCGGGAACACGGAGGGAGCUAGCGUUGUUCGGAAUUACUGGGCGUAAAGCGCGCGUAGGCGGUUACUCAAGUCAGAGGUGAAAGCCCGGGGCUCAACCCCGGAACUGCCUUUGAAACUAGGUGACUAGAAUCUUGGAGAGGUCAGUGGAAUUCCGAGUGUAGAGGUGAAAUUCGUAGAUAUUCGGAAGAACACCAGUGGCGAAGGCGACUGACUGGACAAGUAUUGACGCUGAGGUGCGAAAGCGUGGGGAGCAAACAGGAUUAGAUACCCCUGUAGUCCCUGUCUCUUAUAA
rnacentral:rRNA from 1 species